rnacentral:lncRNA from 1 species
CUCUUUCCAUUCCUCCCUCCUCCUCGUCUUGCCGCCACAAGGUAAGCCACUCCACGCCAUAUCCGUCGCCAACGCCAUGCCCAAGCUCUACUCUGGCGCGAUCAAGCUCGUCAUCGUCGUCUUCUUCCUCGGGGAGUGACGCACGCGUCCCCGACUUUGUCCCCGUCUCCGUCCCCGACCGAUUCUUAUGGGUGGCUGGACUGGAUCGCCUCCCACGCUGUCGUCCACGUCUUUGUCUUCUUCCUCUACCUCCUCUACGUCAUGAACGCCGGCUCCUCUGCUUCCCCGUCGUCGACCUCGUACGACUCCAACAGCACCCCCACGGUGAAGCCCCGCUCCUCCCCAACUCUCUCUCCGUUUGAAUUCUGUCGCCAUAGCUCUCCCGCAAGCCGCACCGUGUCGCACCACCUAGCUUCAUCCGCCCACCUCGUCGUGCUUCGCUGCCAUGGCCACAAGCACGCAGAAUCCCUGUUCACCCAUGCUUCAGCACGCUCUCUGACACCUCGCCGCGCCCUGCCUGGCUGCUUGCCUCGUCUCGCAUACCCAUCUCCCUGCCUCACCGCGCCAUGUCAGGACCCCGAGCCGAGCAACGCUAGAGCUUGUGCGCCCCGCAACCUCCGCCUGCGUGAGCCGAAGCCCCCCUCCAACCCGCACACCCUGGCAUCUCGAGCACGCCGGGAAGCAUGUCCGGAGAGGUAGCUCUGCAUCCUCUGUUUCUUUGCACGCGCACACCUGAAGCCUCGCUCGUCGUCUUGCAUGUCUCUGCAGACGCCGUGCCCGAAGCGAGCAUGAGCUCGUCCUCGAGAUCCCGCACACCCGAGCCUUCUGCACGACCUAUCCAUUCUUGCGCAUGCCCACAACACAACUUGUGCCCCACGUCUGUGCUGCCCGCCCGUGUCGUCGCUUCAACCAGCAUCGCCAGCCCCAUGCCUCGAUGUGCCCGAGUCGAGCUCCUGCUCGUGCCCGAGCGCUCGCACGCACACCACACUGACAAGCAGCAGCCGUUUUCUCCCGUGCACGCAUGUUGUUCCCGCACGCCCGCUGCCGCCUACGGAGCCCUUCCGUGCCGCCGUUGAUCGUCGGCGACGACGCCAUCUCCUUUGUCUCCGUAGAAGAAGCCAAGCCAGGCCUUGAACUGGUUAAAAUCAACUAGGCCGCACCUUCUGUCAAACUAUCACAAUCUAGCCAGUGGCUCAACCCUCUCUGGCUUACCCAGCAGACCCGGGUUCGAAUCUCCAUGUGGCCAGUGGUGAGAAUUCCCAAUUUUUGCCAUUUUGGUUUCUAUGUCAGUAGACCCCACUCGUCAUCCUCUCUGCCCACACAGCCUCCCGUCCACACCCACACUCCUGCCACCUCAGCACGCCGGGCCCUCUCGUCAUUGACAGUGGCUGGCUCAGCCCGUGUUCCCCUGUUGUUUUAUUUUCUUCGGCAUAAUUUCAGAAAAAGCCCCUAUUUUGUUUUGUUAAUAACUAAAUAUGUAUGCAUCCAAAUUAAUCAAACUGUAUAUGUAAAAUGCUUAGAAUUUUAUCUAGUUUCAUAAUAUGCAUCAUUCAUCCCUGUUUAAAAUGUUUAACUUGCUGUUUAAAUUAAUUUGCUGAAUGCCAUGCUAAAAUGAUUUAUUUCAUAACUAAAUAACCAUAGCUCCGAAUUUAAUAAACUUUAUAUGUAAAUGGGGUGGAAAAAUGCAUAGCUUAACAUGGUAGCAUUAUUUGGCAUGUUUAACAACUCUAAAAUUAUGUAAUAGGCAGAACAGUACCGAAUCUAAAAUAUGCACAUGGGGAUUUUUUGGAAUUGUUGCUUGUUGUUCCGGCCUCAUUUAAACUUGCCUAGAUAGGUAGAUUAAUUAUGCUUCACCUCUUGCCAUGUUUAACAAUAUUUAAUAUUGUUUGGUAGCUUAAACGAGAUUGAACUAAAUAUGUCCAUGUGGUGUUUUGUCAAUAUGCAACACGUUGCAUGUUGAGCUCCACUUAAUUUGUAGGAUUGUUUGUGCACUUUGCCAUGACAUGCCUCAUUAAACCGGGCAUGCAUCAUACUUGAUUGUGCAUCAUGCCAUGUUUAUGCUUGGUGUUUACCAUGUUGUUUCCUUCUUUCCGGUUUGCUUCUCUCGUUAGCUCCUCUUCUCGCUCUUAUUUGCGUAUGUUAGCCACCAUAUAUGCUUAGUCGCUGCUGCAACCUCACCACUUUACCCCUUCCUUUCCCUUUAAGCUUUGCUAGUUUUGAUACCCAUGGUAAUGGGAUUGCUGAGUCCUCGUGGCUCACAGAUUACUACAACAACAGUUGCAGGUACAGGUUAUGCGAUGAUCAUGACGCAAGAGCGAUGCUUGUUUGCGUUGAGAUCUUCUUCUGCUCCUUCGAUCAGGGGAUAGGUUCCAGGUCGGUAGCCUGGGCUAGCAGGGUGGAUGUCGUUUGAGUUUCUGUUUGUGUUUCAUCCGUAGUCGGAUGAUCCUCUGAUGUAUUGUGAUGUUGUAUUCAUGUGGCAUCGAUUAUGUAAUGUUGAUGUAAUGAUAUCCACCUUGCAAAAGCGUUUCAAUAUGCGGGUCUAUCCUUGGUGGGACCUUCGAGUUCCUUUUGGAUAGGGUCGCAUAUUGGGCGUGACAAGUUGGUAAUCAGAGCCUCGACCGACCAUAGGAGCCCCCUUGAUUGUUGGCCGUUGUUGAGUCUAGAAGAAAACUAUUUUGAUUCUUAGGAUUAUAUAUAUCGGAGAGUAGGAUUCUUUUUACUCCCCAUCCCCUUCGUCGCUCUGGUGAGGUCUCCUGACGUAGAUGUUUUGACUUUCCUCUCCUCAAAUUUCACUAUUUUUUUAGGAUCACGCGGGUAUCUUGGAAUCGUUCCGAUGGUUUUGUGACGAGAACAUUGUUAUUGGUGCCUCCUGUCUAUUAUGUGGCAUUCACCCGGGGAGUUGAGCUCCGAGGUGUUGUUGUCACAAUUUUAUCAUUGCAGUUCUGGAAUACCUGAGUUUUGCCGACAUCGAAAAUCUCUUUUAUGCAGUUGUUGGUGAGAUAACCUCGACGUCACCCAGUACUGGGGAGUUCGGGAGUAUUGCCAUAACUCGUAUAACGGAUGCUUUUCGAAGGUUGAGGUACACGAUUUCCGAAGGUUUCUUGGUUAUGUGUUGACGGAUGGAUAUAGCUGGAUGUAGGUAUUGUUAGUUUGGGUGAGAUAUAUUGCUUCCCCUGUAUCCCCAACACCAGAUUGCAUAACCAGAAAGUUUCGGGAGUUUUAUAGGUGGGAAUUCAAGUAGCUCCUAGAAUAUCUUUCCGACAGAUGCAUGAUAUGGGAUUGGGUAAAUCUCUAUCAUAUGUAUUUGUUCCGGCUUAUUCUGCAAGCCAAAUCCUUUGUUUUGUUUUAUUUGUGGUAUUCGAGUUGCUUCAAAGUCAAAUGUUGAAUCCAUACCUUUCCUAAACGGUGUUCUCAUAUUGCUAUGUGAAUACUAAUCCUUUUGAUCACUGAGGUUGUCAUGUUAAUUCUUUUCCAACCGGUGCGCUUCUCUUCGAGAUGAUCCCAUCAUUCUCUCCAUCCGCAAGAUCAAUUCUAAGUUUUCUCACCGGUGUUUGUUUCAUCCAUCCCAAGUUGCCUUUGUUUCCCGCCCUCCCACCCUUUUUCUUCAAGGACUCAUAUUUUUUAAUCAAGUAUCCAUUUAUUCAUGUGAAGUUUCUCCAUUCUUUUCCUGUCAAUGUUCUUAUCCGGUGAUUUCCCAAGAAGAUGCUCAACAGUUUUAAGUUCAUCAUCCUUCAUUGUUGUUUCUUCUCCGGUGGAUCCAAUUCAAGCUUUCAGUGUUGAUCAUAUUCCUUUCCUCGUGUGAAAUGCUUUCUCAUGCGGGUGCACCUCUCAAUCACUCACCUCUGGCUAUUCAUUUGUUCUGGAGUGCUGAAGAUAUCUCGGAAGACUUGUGUUUCCAUUCUCAAUCCGUUCAAGAUAUUUUGAGGUUGUUAUCUCAUUCAAGUCAUUUAAUUCAACCGGUGCAAUUCCCCCUUUCAAUCAAUUUUCCAACGGUGUUUUCUUUUUAGUGGGCCCUAACCCACAGGUCUUUUCCCAGGAUCUUACCUGACUCUUCGAAUUAUCAGGAGCGAUUCUCAAAUUCAUCUGAAAGUUUGACGUAAGAAUGAAAUAUCAUCAGUCAAAUGUCUUUCUCCAAGAUCUUUCAAAUUCUUUUCAUCGUUGAUUCAACCUUUCUAUUAUUCAUUUCGGAGUAUCUCAACAAUUUAUGGUGGUGUUUCUCGUUGUCAUUUCUCGGAUUUUGAAGACCGAAGAAGAGUUCCUCUUAAAUCCUUACCCGUUCUUCCAAAGAUGCGUAGUUCAAGCUUGAUGCCAUCCUCUCAUAAUUGUUUUCGAUUGUGAGAAUUCUUUUCAACCAUCUGAUGCAUUUCAGGAGUCGCUUCCUUUCUUGAUAAUCCAUAUGCCAUCAUUUCUGAAUAUUACUUAUUCUCAACCUUCAACUUUUGUUCUCCAAAUCUUACCGGUGGAUCAUUCAAGUAUUCUCUAAUAAGCUCAUGAUCUCUUCGUUCACUUGUAUGUAAAUCCCCUCAAGUAUCUUCAUUCUUCCCGGUGAAUUGUGCCUUUGCUGCUUUCAUUCUCAAUUCUUACGGUUGUUCGUUCAACAUUUCACUUCCUUCGUUAUCAUAUCAAUUCAUUUGUUGUUUCCAAACCCCACCGAUGGAUCCAUCAAGACCUUCUCAAGUUUGCGCUAUCUCUAUCCUUAAUCCCUCAAGAAGAAUAAGUAGUAUACCAAAUCCAUUGCUUGCCAUCAAUUUAAUUUGAUGAAGGAUAAGCAUACAAUAAAUCUUAUUCUUAUUUCCUCGAGGUGAUUCAAUUCUUUUCUUCCGGAGAUUGUUCAUGAUGAAGUAAUUCUCGGUUCUAGUGUUUCAUCUAUUCUUUUUAUGGAGUUCCAAGUUUUUCGCAUUAUCUCAUCGCGAAGCUCCAUCUAAAUCAUCGCAAGGCUUCACCUUGUGUCUUCAACUUUCCAUUCGUUUGAUCAUUCUUUUAUUACCGGAGUUCUUCAUGGAGGUUCUACAUGAUGGUUCGUCAAGGAUUCUUUUCAUUCUUCAAUUGUUCUUCAAGAUUUCUCUUGAAGUUAUGAUCCGUCAAGCUAUACUCUAAAAUAAACAUGGUGCUCAACAGAUGUUUUAUUUUUGAGGAGCUCAAGUAUUCUUCAUCUUGCAUUUCGAAGUGCAAUUCUUUCUACCUUAUCUUUUGAGAUGGUGAUAUGUCAUUCUUGAUAAUUUCCAUUCAUGUUUCGUGAUUCACAUGUUGUCAAGAAUGAGGUAUUUUAAAUCCAUUAGUCUCUUCAUUGGAGUUAUCUUGUGUCAUAUUUCACCUAAAGCCUUCCCUAAGGAAUGUUGUUAUUAUGGUGCUAUCAAUGAUUCGAGUUUUCUCCUAUCCUCUCGGCGAAGAAGUUUUUUUUCAUCUCUUUGGUGCUCUCAAUCAAAUCAAUAGUUUUCGUUAGUGGCAGAAUGUCAUCUCAUAGUCUUCAGAUGUUUCCAUAAGCCCACUACAAGCUUAUUCUUUUCGUUGUUGGUUUUCCAACAACCCCGUUGUAACCAUCUUGGAAGGGUGCUUUCCAAGCUCAUUUGUGGCACAAGUUGGCAUUUUCUUCUCCAUUCUUUUAUUCCAGUGAUCUAUUUUCUAUUCUUUCUUCCGAAGGCAUUGUGAUGUUGUUCUCUUCACUCAUCAUCUUGUUUUGUCAAGAUCAUGUUCUUUUCCAUGCUUAUCCAGUUAACCGGAGUGUUGUGUCUAUCAUUCCUCUUUUAACCGGAGUCUCAUCCAAGUGCUUUCAUUUUGCCAAGUUCAUGUUCUAUUCCUUCCAUGUUCAACCGGAGUGCUGCCCGAAUUCUUCCUCUCUCAUCUUGUUGUAACCGGAGUGGUUUUGAAUUCUAUCUUGUCCAUUAAACUCCUGAUUUAUGUCUUUGCAACCUCCAAGGUUCACAUGGUGUCCCUUGUUUCUAUUUUCUACCGCAGUGCUCUCAAUUUCGUUUAACUCUAUUGUGUUAUUCUUUCAAGUUUUCAACCUCGAGGUUCAUUGGUUUCACUCGUUUGUCAAAGAAGCAACUUAGUUUUACCUCUUCUCUUCCUCUUCCGUUUCUCUCCGGUGCCAUUCUAGAUCUCGGGACGAGAUCAUCUUGUAGUGGUGGAGUGUUGUAAUGCCCCGGAUCCGAUGUGUCAGGUGUCUUCCAGCUAUUCGUCAUUGUUGCCAUGUCAUUUGCUUGCGUGUGGCACUUUGCCUUGUCAUCUUGUUUUGCUUUGUUCCUUUAUUUGUUGCAUAUGCCAUGCUCAUCAUUGUUAUAUUGCAUUGCCUCUUGUCAUUUUGCAUGCUAGUCAUAUACCUUUUGGUAAUCAUCAUGUUGUUGCCAUGUUCAUCUUGUGCAUUGUCCUUUAUGUAUGUUGUGUGUUGCUCUAAUUGAUGUGUGUGCAUCACCCCUUUGCUAUCUCUCUCAAACCAAGCCAUGCACCAUCACCUUCUCCUUCCUCUUCUUUUACUCCUCUAUGCAAGUGUGAAGUAAAUCAUGCACCAUGCCUUAUACCUCUCUGUCAAGUUUCAUCCUUUUGGGAGUUGUUUUGGGUUAGGUUCAAAAAUGGAGCAAGUGUGAAGUAAAUUCAUACUUGAUAUAUUUUUCUAUCUAUAAAACAGCCCAAGCAAUUUAUUCAAAGACUACAUAAAUCCAGGAGUCCAAAGAUAUUCUUAUCUCAGUCCCACACCUCCCCAUUACCCCUGUGUAUUUAUUUUCUCUAUUUUUCUGUUUGAAGAAAAGAAAGAAAAGAGCAGGGGCCUCCCAGCAGCGCACUUGGGCCUCCCCCUCCUGUUCAAGCCCAGCGCAGCCCACCUAUCACAUGUUCACUACAGCCCACAUCGCACAACCAGCCCAUCUGCACAGCAGCUUCGUCCUCCUCCUGUACGGCGCACAUCCAGCACCUCCACGUCGGCAAUCGACUUGAUUUGACGGCCGGGACAGCCUCCCUACCUCCUAUAAAUCAUGCGCCGGUGCCCUAGGGUCUCUCCUCUUUCCAUUCCUCCCUCCUCCUCGUCUUGCCGCCGCAAGGUAAGCCACUCCACGCCAUAGCCGUCGCCAACGCCAUGCCCAAGCUCUACUCUGGCGCGAUCAAGCUCGUCGUCGUCGUCUUCUUCCUCGGGGAGCGACGCACGCGUCCCCGACUUUGUCCCCGUCUCCGUCCCCGACCGAUUCCGAUGGGUGGCUGGACUGGAUCGCCUCCCACGCUGUCGUCCACGUCUUUGUCUUCUUCCUCUACCUCCUCUACGUCAUGAACGCCGGCUCCUCUGCUUCCCCGUCGUCAACCUCGUACGACUCCAGCAGCACCCCCACGGUGAAGCCCCGCUCCUCCCCAACUCUCUCUCCGUUUGAAUUCUGUCGCCAUAGCUCUCCCGCAAGCCGCACCGUGUCGCACCACCUAGCUUCAGCCGCCCACCUCGUC